rnacentral:lncRNA from 1 species
ACAGUGCAAUAUUUUUAAAAGCAAGACACACAUUCAUGUGAACAUCUAUUUAAAAAGAACAAUAACAUUUCUUGGAAAAGGCAGCAGGGAAAUAAACCCAUGGGGAAGUAAUUACAAUAAAAACUAGAAUAUGAGGCCUGCAGGUAAACAAACUCUUGGUCAAUCUGUGUUCUACGAUCAGUUUGUGACCUAGUCUGUCACACAAUGGUACUUUUUCCCGAAACAGCUUUCCCCCUCUGUGUCUCAUUUUUAUGAUGGAACUGAUGACACCCUGUUGUGCUUUAUUCCAUCUGAGCAUUUAGACAGAGACCUCAGGAACCUUAACAAAAGCUGUAACCCCUGGGUACAGGUUGAGACAGGCUCAGGGCUCCAUCUUUACGUCACCCAACCAUGCUUUGA